rnacentral:lncRNA from 1 species
UGUGAAGCUGGUCAGAUCAUUUGCAAUCCAAUAUGAAUAUGAGGGACAGGUGCGGCGGAGCCUUGAUGCUUAUGUUCUUCCUCCUCUUUGCAUUCCCCGCGCAAUGUAAGUGUCAGCUAACUCGAUCUUUAUCCUUGAAUUUAAUUAUUUGUUCUAGACGUACACAUAAUUAGUUUUAGUUAUAUUACUACCAAGUAAGUGAAGUGCAUGCUGAUGAACACACAAUUAUUAAACAGGUCGUCCUCAUCAUCAGGAGCUCUAUGUUGGAACUGCUAGCCUUAGCAACACAACACUGGACGAGAGCAAAGGGGAAGUGGUACUCAGAUUCUGCACGAAGAGGCUGCGUGGAAAUGAUGUGUUCUACUGCUGCUGGAAUAAGAAGCCGGAACCCUGGUGCUACGACACUUGGCAAGAGUGUCAGGCCGUGUGCCCUCUCUGUAAUCCCCAGUGCCCGCCUGCGCCCGGCCCAUCGCCG